CAGCACUUGUUGCAGCCAUUAGCCUGCUGGAAAUGUGGCAGCACUGCUCUUGUGAAUGUUCAUUCAUGGUUUUCAGAACAUGGCACACUCGAGUGUCCUCACAUUGUCCGCUAAGAAAGUGCAGAGAAAAUAGUUUUCCUGGGUGGUCCGACUCAUUAAUACACUCCGCACUUCUUGAUUUACGGCUCACAGUUCAACUGCUGCUAAUUAACGUGAAAACAUGGAGGGAAAAAAGGAAAACAGAGAGAGAGGAGGAGGAGGAGGAAGAGGUGGAGGUGGAGGCCGCUGGGUUUCCCCCACAAAACUGAGUCAUGCUAAGCCUUCCCUUCAGAUCAAGGCUUCCACUGGUACUGAUCAUGAUGAGGAGCUCAGCAGUCUGUGCUGUCAUGAUUACAGGUUCCUUUGACAGACAAUCUCUGCAGUUCACCAGGAGUUGGUGAGCUUUGAAGACACAGAAAGAUGACGGUGAGAAGGCUUCUUCUUCUCUGCUGCUUCUUCAGAGGAGCUGGUAAAAAGUUGAGUGCUGCCUCUUUCCCAUGGCCCGGAACCGACAGAACAAACUCUGGGAGAGAGCAAAGAAAACACGGUCACAAGGAGCCAAUGAUCCGCAGCACUCCGGCAAAAAAAAAAUAUAACGGAAAAAAGUCUUUCUCCUUCAGUCAAAUGUUUUGUUAUGGAACAGACACGAUAUCCAAAGGCUGCUUCGUGUGUACACAACAGCUUCCUGACAGACAGCUGCUCAUGUUGACUCACAUUUGUAUAAUUAAAUUUCCCUUCAUGGCUCUG